rnacentral:rRNA from 1 species
AGAGUUUGAUCCUGGCUCAGGAUGAACGCUGGCGGCGUGCCUAACACAUGCAAGUCGAACGGACUCAUACUGAAACCUAGUGAUCUAUGAGUUAGUGGCGGACGGGUGAGUAACGCGUGGAUAACCUGCCGUAUACCGGGGGAUAACACUUAGAAAUAGGUGCUAAUACCGCAUGAGCGCACAGCUCCGCAUGGAGCGGUGUGAAAAACUCCGGUGGUAUACGAUGGAUCCGCGUCUGAUUAGCCAGUUGGCGGGGUAACGGCCCACCAAAGCGACGAUCAGUAGCCGGCCUGAGAGGGUGAACGGCCACAUUGGGACUGAGACACGGCCCAGACUCCUACGGGAGGCAGCAGUGGGGAAUAUUGCACAAUGGGGGAAACCCUGAUGCAGCGACGCCGCGUGGGUGAAGAAGUAUCUCGGUAUGUAAAGCUCUAUCAGCAGGAAAGAUAAUGACGGUACCUGACUAAGAAGCCCCGGCUAACUACGUG